UUAAAGCAGUUAAAUCCAUAGUCAAGAGCAGAGAACUGAAUGAGUGCUGUGUUCACUUGCUUGCCAGUUUGAUCUCAGCUCAGUGUCUCCACUUUUAUAUACAGGUAACAGCCUCUUGCCCAGGGAACGCUGUCGCCCAUAGUGGGCUGAGUCUUCCUACAUCAGUUAACUUCGAUAAGAUAAUCCCCUUCAGACAUGCUCUCAGUCCAACCCAAUUCUUCACUGAGACUCACUUCCUAGGUGAUUGUAGGAAUGCAGUUGACAGUUAAAGUUAACUAUUGCAGAAACAUAACAGACUUGUAACAAGAGUAUACAGAAUCCCCAUAAUGAAAAUGACUGAGAAUUAAAUAAUAAUGAAACUUACAUUAUUACUUUUAGCAGGAGAAAAAGUAGUGGGUAGAAAGAUAGCCCAGAAUAAAUUAUUCUUAAUGCCAUGGAGAUAGAUUAUAGAGAUAAAACAUUAAAUAUUAAAAUACAUUAAAAAGAAAAUAAGAUCAAGUAUGGUCUGUCUGAAUUUUAGAAAAAGAUCAAAGUCAAAAAACAUGUAAUAGGUGUGAUAUUUUAAGCGACAAACUUCCAAGUGCAGGAGGGCAUAAGCAUGUUCCUUUCAGCCUCAUUUGAUAUCUCGAUGAGUGAAGAGCAUGAAAGUGUGCAUUAUAUGUGCCUAUUAAUCUAUAUAUUUAUGUACAAAUUUUCAUAGUCAAAUAAUAAGACAACUUUGAUGUGAUUAGAACACACAAUAUCACAAAGAUCCAUUCACUGUGAUACUUUAAAAAGUAAUCCAUAUGGUUGAACACAAUUAUUGAACUUCUUCAGUGCUUCCUCGCCACCUUAAAAUGGCCAAUGUGAGCAGGUAGCAUGUCACCACGCCCCUCUGAAUAGAGAGCUGCACCAGGCUAGCUGAAUGAGCAGCAGACACUGGCAUUCAGGAGUGCUAGCAAUUCAGACUGAGUUAACCAACUGCACUGAAACAUGAAAUUAAAGAAAUAAAUCAGGAAAACAGAGUGGGUGACAGUAUGUAGAAUCAGGCAUUAGCAUAAUGUAACCAUAAAUCAACGGGUUGUUUAAUGAAAGACACUGCAGUAGCUGCCUGUCUAUCUCAAACACAAACUCCACUCUCACACGAACCUUACAUAUACACUAAAGUAGUUUUUAGAUGGAUUAAGGUUGCUCAAUAUGUUGAAAGAUUAAAGAAUUAAUGAUUACAGAAAUAUCAGCAUACUAAAAAUAAGAGUCAAAGAUAUUCCUAUUUUAACCACAGCUUGAAGACCAGAAAUAUUUAAAGGAAAAAAAUAGGUUAAAGUUACUAUGAAAGAUACCAAGAGAGUGAGCUAGAAAAAUGAUUAUAUAGAUGGCAAUAUCAUAGGAGGUGCAAUGUACAAGGGUGGCUAUAAAUUCUCAAUAAGGAAGAAUAAAACAACAAAAUUGAAGUGCAGUGGUUAACCCAAGCACAAAUACGAGAAUCAUAAAUCUACAAAAUGUUCAAAUUCACUUGUAGUCAGAUAAAUGUAAAGAAGUAGCAAUCAGCCACUCUGUAUCUGUAAGACUCUACAUGUAUACGAUUUAAACUUUUCCUAGUGGGUACAUGUGGCAAAGAAAAUUUCAAAUAUUUCUGAUAAAAAUGAGAACCAAUGCUCUCAUUUUUUAAUGAAAAUAAUUCAGUAAGAUCUAACAAAAUGAUGAACAAAAGUAGAUACAGAAUUCUAUAUGGAUAUGAUACUUAUCAAUUUAGCCCAUAUAGAUUUAAGUGGUAAGAUAAAAGCAAGUCCCCAGCUUUAUUUGAAGUGCAUAGAGAAUAGGCAACAUGAAGAAGUGGACAUAUGCACUCUUGUCCAUCCAUUCAGUUGUCUGUUUAUAAUUUGUCUUUGGUUCUACCCAGACUUGAUGGAGGUAGAAGCCUCUACUGUGAAUGAGUAUGUGAUGGAGAGCUGGGAAGACAGAUAAACAGGAUGGAAUUUAUGCUGUGGAGAGAGUGGAACUGGAGAUACAAAAUGUGAUG
rnacentral:lncRNA from 1 species